CAUGCAAGUCGAACGAAGUAGCAAUACUUAGUGGCAGACGGGUGAGUAACAUGUGGGUAUCUUCCCUUUGGUGAGGAAUAACACGAGGAAACUUGUGCUAAUACCUCAUAAGUCUUUACGGAGAAAGCUUUAUGCGCCAUUGGAUGAGCCCGCACUUGAUUAGUUUGUUGGUGGGGUAAUGGCCUACCAAGACAAUUAUCAAUAGCUGGUCUGAGAGGACGAUCAGCCACAUUGGGACUGAGACACGGCCCAGACUCCUACGGGAGGCAGCAGUAAGGAAUCUUGCACAAUGGGGGAAACCCUGAUGCAGCGAUGCCGCGUGAGUGAAGAAGGCCCUUGGGUUGUAAAACUCUUUCGUCGGGGAAGAAAAUGACUGUACCCGAAUAAGAAGGUCCGGCUAACUUCGUGCCAGCAGCCGCGGUAAUACGAAGGGACCUAGCGUAGUUCGGAAUUACUGGGCUUAAAGAGCUUCGUAGGUGGUUAAAAAAAGUUUGAUGGUGAAAUCCCAAGGCUCAACCCUUGGAACUG
rnacentral:rRNA from 1 species